AAUGAACGCUGGCGGCAUGGAUUAGGCAUGCAAGUCGAACGGUGAGGUCCCGCAAGGGACCGAUCAGUGGCGAAAGGGUGCGUAACGCGUGAGCAAUCUGCCCUUGAGACCGGAAUAGCCCCGGGAAACUGGGGAUUAAUGCCGGAUGUGGUUAUCGGUCGCAUGGCCGGUGGACUGAAGGCGCAAGCCGCUCAAGGAUGAGCUCGCGUCCGAUUAGCUAGUUGGCGGGGUCACGGCCCACCAAGGCGAAGAUCGGUAGGUGGUCUGAGAGGAUGGGUCACCCACACUGGGACUGAGACACUGCCCAGACUCCUACGGGAGGCUGCAGUCGAGAAUCUUCCGCAAUGGGCGAAAGCCUGACGGAGCGAUGCCGCGUGAGGGAUGAAGGCCUUCGGGUUGUAAACCUCUGUCGCCCGGGACGAAACAAAUGACGGUACCGGGAGAGGAAGGCUACGGGCUAACUACGUG
rnacentral:rRNA from 1 species